GACGAACGCUGGCGGCGUGCUUAACACAUGCAAGUCGAACGGAAAGGCCCUGCUUGCAGGGUACUCGAGUGGCGAACGGGUGAGUAACACGUGGGUGAUCUGCCCUGCACUUCGGGAUAAGCCUGGGAAACUGGGUCUAAUACCGGAUAGGAGCCAUUUUUAGUGUGAUGGUUGGAAAGUUUUUUCGGUGUAGGAUGAGCUCGCGGCCUAUCAGCUUGUUGGUGGGGUAAUGGCCUACCAAGGCGGCGACGGGUAGCCGGCCUGAGAGGGUGGACGGCCACAUUGGGACUGAGAGGCGGCCCAGACGCCUACGGGAGGCAGCAGGGGGGAAUAUUGCACAAUGGGCGCAAGCCUGAUGCAGCGACGCCGCGUGGGGGAUGACGGCCUUCGGGUUGUAAACUCCUUUCGCUAGGGACGAAGCUUUUUGUGACGGUACCUAGAUAAGAAGCACCGGCUAACUACGUG
rnacentral:rRNA from 1 species